AAGUCGUAACAAGGUUUCCGUAGGUGAACCUGCGGAAGGAUCAUUGACAAAUCUAAACAAACACGCACCUGUGAAUCAGCUGGUAGUCACCUACCCCUUUAGGGGUGGUGACUAUUAGUUAGUGGGUGAGAGUAACCUCUCUCCCCCCACCACAUUUACGCAAUUGUCUUACACACAACAAACACACACAACUUUUAGCAAUGGAUCUCUUGGCUUCUGUAACGAUGAA
rnacentral:misc_RNA from 1 species